rnacentral:rRNA from 1 species
ACGAACGCUGGCGGCGUGCUUAACACAUGCCAGUCGAACGGAAAGGCCCUGCUUUUGUGGGGUGCUCGAGUGGCGAACGGGUGAGUAACACGUGAGUAACCUGCCCUUGACUUUGGGAUAACUUCAGGAAACUGGGGCUAAUACCGGAUAGGAGCUCCUGCUGCAUGGUGGGGGUUGGAAAGUUUCGGCGGUUGGGGAUGGACUCGCGGCUUAUCAGCUUGUUGGUGGGGUAGUGGCUUACCAAGGCUUUGACGGGUAGCCGGCCUGAGAGGGUGACCGGCCACAUUGGGACUGAGAUACGGCCCAGACUCCUACGGGAGGCAGCAGUGGGGAAUAUUGCACAAUGGGCGGAAGCCUGAUGCAGCAACGCCGCGUGCGGGAUGACGGCCUUCGGGUUGUAAACCGCUUUCGCCUGUGACGAAGCGUGAGUGACGGUAAUGGGUAAAGAAGCACCAGCUAACUACGUG